CAGUCGCCGCGGGAAAACGGAGGGAGCUAGCGUUAUUCGGAAUUACUGGGCGUAAAGCGCACGUAGGCGGCUUUGUAAGUUAGAGGUGAAAGCCUGGAGCUCAACUCCAGAAUUGCCUUUAAGACUGCAUCGCUUGAAUCCAGGAGAGGUGAGUGGAAUUCCGAGUGUAGAGGUGAAAUUCGUAGAUAUUCGGAAGAACACCAGUGGCGAAGGCGGCUCACUGGACUGGUAUUGACGCUGAGGUGCGAAAGCGUGGGGAGCAAACAGGAUUAGAUACCCCCGUAGUCCCUGUCUCUUAUAC
rnacentral:rRNA from 1 species